rnacentral:lncRNA from 1 species
GGUGAGCUUUCGUGAUAUCAAGACCGCCUGGAUUUCACCCGUCCAAGUCUGCUUACAUGGCCCCAGCUGCCAUGGCGAUGGGCUACUCUCUGACGGGAAUAUGCACAUCUGAAAGAGACCUGGCCCAACGAGCAUCACAGCUACAACAUUGCUGCCAUAGUACAACUAGAUACAAUAGUUAACGGCUUAUUCAAGUGACCAAGUGGUGACAAGGGAAUCUCGUGGCCACCUUCAGCAGGCUGGCAGUCUGCUGUACUUCAAGCAUCUGCAAUGCUACACAGUAGAGGGUAUGUGCCAAAGGCCUGGUUGAUGGGCAGGAUCAAGCUGCACCAUCCGGUUCUACGCAAUCGACCUCUGGGAAGCAAGUGUCUGCAUGAUCAAGUGUGGUUUCUUGGCAGAUGUUUGCCUGCAACACUGGUGUUCAUCAACCUAUGUUGUGAAUGUCUCGAGAAAUAUUUCUUGGAUGCAAGACCUUGAACUGCACAUGGACCUCUGACGUAGCUUGUGCAUGCUGUUUUGAUUACCUUCUGAAGACUGUGCCUAAAAGAACUGCUGGAGAAUGGCGGUUGAGAUGAAGGCGUUACAAGAUGGGUCAUAGGAGCUGCCAUGUACUGGUGCAGAUUGUCUCGAUCCCGGUGUGGCUCGUUCUAGAAGUUCAAGCAGAAACCAAGCAGAGGGGGGAAAAUGUUGCUUUGGUCGCAAUGUCCCAACUUGGAGUUCCUUGAAUCUCCCUCGACUGACUUGCUAGUGAGACGCAGCAGAACAGGCAUCUGCGGUGCCCACCUUCCACUGCUGUAACACUUCCAGGAUUGAGACCAGGGGUUCAUCCAUGAUUGUCAAUCUGGGAAGGUGUUGCUAAUUCUGGGAAAGGCCUCCCGAGGGAUAGAUUUGCGUACUUUGAGUAGAAAAUUCUUAUAGCGUCGUCCCACUAGAGCAGGGGUGGCCAAGCUGCGGCUCGCAACUUCGCGUGUUAAAGUGCAGCUCGCGGUCCCCCCCCCCCCUCCUCCCCCUCCCCCUUGCCCUCCUCCCUCCCUAUCACACGAGCACUUCCCCAAAAAAAGAAAUGGAACACGUUUUAAGUCGAAAGACAGGUUGCAGUUUGGUAGUCUUGUGCUGCUGCUACCUUACGACCAGUUGGAGUGCUUUUGACUCGGAUAGAUUGAAAGUAGUUAAAGUUUCGUUAAUUGCUCUAGACAAAAGCCCCCCCCCCCCCCCCCCCCCGCGGCUCUUGAAAGUUUCGUAGUUUUGUUUGUGGCUCUUAGGCCGGGUCAGCCUGGCCACCCCUGCACUAGAGCGACAAACACUGAUUUUUGUCCAGCAACACCACAAAGGUUUGUGUUGCUGAUGCUGUUCCACUGCAAUGACCAGCACCCGCAACAAACGCCGACAAACCAUCGACGACGUACGAGUUGUUGUCUGUCGUUGAACUUGAAGCGCAGCAAGCAGUCCCACCGAGGAACAUCACUUGGGGACAAACUUAAUUUUCUCGCCCGCUUGUGCCUUCUGUUGCUGUCUUCCCCACCCUCCUCCUACCCUUCCUCCCAUUCCUCCCUUGACUCAGUCCUUGGCGGCCACUGAUUGUUCCCGCUCCCGCAGUUUCGAUUCCUGGAUUGCUCGUUGUAGUCGCGGGCCCGGCUUGCUUGCUAGAUGUCGUGUUGCAAAAGGGAAUUUGCUGUGGCUGGUUUUGCUCACGAAAACUUUGUGCGCGAGUUGGUGCUUCAAGAUGCCGAAGUCUGCGCCCCUGCAUCAGGAUGGAUACACCCACGUGUGAGGACUGACCAAAGCAAGACCGCUUACCAUGAAGUAGGACACGACGUUCCGCCAGUUCUGUGGCUAGCCAUUCCGGCAAAUUGAGAGACUUGUCAUCCAUUCUGUGAUUGUCUCCCAUAAAACGCCUGCCAUUCGGUCAUUCGGAUAUGAAAUUAAAAACGUCCUCAAAUCGACGUGAAAUCCCGUGGCGCUCACCUUGAAUGCUUCGAACGACCCAAAAAAAGGAAUGAUUCAGGAAUUCUAGUUCGGAAAAAGUUGGGUGUCGAUUGUCACGACUGUUUUCAGAAAGCCGCCAACGGCAAAUGAAGACAAGUGGAAGCUUUAAACAAGGAAUAAAGUAAUCGUCUCCACUUUCAUAGUGUUUGUUGGGGCAUUUGACGCCCAGAGAGCAAAACAAGAAAACCGCUUUGCCAUACUCUGUCUCUGUAUUUUGAAGUGUUUUGUUGACAACUCCAGUCCCACUAGCAAACAAGUUUCCUUGUCCCCGUGUUCUGUGUCGUGUCUGCCAGGUGGGACAGCGGACUCCGACAAACAGGCCGUUUGUCGGUGUCGUAUGUCGCUUGUUGCUCUAGUGGGAUGCGGCUAUUAGGGACUCGACCUGGGGCAUGUUAGGGGUGUGUGCGUAUAAGUCGCUGGUCGUAAGAACCAGCAGCAUUGCAUUCGUUGUGCUCAGUGUUGUGGAUCUUGUGUGGAUCUGCCUGUAAUUUAUGGGGCCUUUAGAACUUCAGCAUUACACAGUGAUGACAUCAGCAGCUGGAAAUUGAUGGGACCGAAAUAAAGAUGACAAAA